rnacentral:rRNA from 1 species
GGCGAACGCUGGCGGCGUGCCUAAUACAUGCAUGUAGAACGCUGAAGAGAGGAGCUUGCUCUUCUUGGAUGAGUUGCGAACGGGUGAGUAACGCGUAGGUAACCUGCCUUGUAGCGGGGGAUAACUAUUGGAAACGAUAGCUAAUACCGCAUAACAAUGGAUGACACAUGUCAUUUAUUUGAAAGGGGCAAUUGCUCCACUACAAGAUGGACCUGCGUUGUAUUAGCUAGUAGGUGAGGUAAUGGCUCACCUAGGCGACGAUACAUAGCCGACCUGAGAGGGUGAUCGGCCACACUGGGACUGAGACACGGCCCAGACUCCUACGGGAGGCAGCAGUAGGGAAUCUUCGGCAAUGGGGGCAACCCUGACCGAGCAACGCCGCGUGAGUGAAGAAGGUUGUCGGAUCGUAAAGCUCUGUUGUAAGUCAAGAACGGGUGUGAGAGUGGAAAGUUCACACUGUGACGGUAGCUUACCAGAAAGGGACGGCUAACUACGUG